AUUGAACGCUGGCGGCAGGCCUAACACAUGCAAGUCGAACGAGUGGCGGACGGGUGAGUAAUGUCUGGGAAACUGCCUGAUGGAGGGGGAUAACUACUGGAAACGGUAGCUAAUCCCGCAUACGAUCCGAUGCGCCCAGAUGGGAUUAGCUAGUUGGUGGGGUAAAGGCUCACCUAGGCGACGAUCCCUAGCUGGUCUGAGCGGAUGAUCAGCCACACUGGAACUGAGAUACGGUCCAGAUUCGUACGGGAGUCAGCAGUGGGGAAUAUUGCACAAUGGGCGCAAGCCUGAUGCAGCCAUGACGAGUGUAUGAAGAAGGCCUUCGGGUUGUAAAGUACUUUCAGCUGGGAGGCGUUACCCGCAGAAUAAGCACCGGCUAACUCCGUGCCAGCAGCCGCGGUAAUUC
rnacentral:rRNA from 1 species